rnacentral:rRNA from 1 species
GACGUAGGUGGCGAACGUUAUCCGGAAUUAUUGGGCGUAAAGGGCGCGUAGGCGGGCUGCCGCGUCCGGGGUGAAAUCCCACGGCUCAACCGUGGAACGGCCUCGGAUACGGGCGGCCUCGAGGGGGGUAGGGGCAUCUGGAACUGUGAGUGGAGCGGUGAAAUGCGUUGAUAUCGUUUGGAACGCCAAAGGUGAAAACAGGUUGCUGGGAAUGUGCCGACGCUGAGACACGAAAGCCAGGGGAGCAAACGGGG